AGUAUCAUAGUAAUUGGAUAAAUAUGAAUUAUUUUGGAGUGGGUGUCUGGAAUAGGUAGGCUAACGGACUCCCAUGGCUUUGAAUAUCUACGUGAUCCACGCUCUGACCACUGGCGUUCAGCCACGAGCUGUUAAAGACCAGGGUUUAAUGACGAGGACAGCAGCCUUUGGGUUUCUGCUCUAGCAGAAAUACAAAAACGUUUCAUCUUCUAGGAAAAAAAACAAAACAAACAAACAACAACAACAACAACAAAAAAAAAAAACAUAAAAACAAACGUCCCGUCAACUUUAUGGAGAAGAACACACACGGAACCUAGCGGUUCCAGACGACUUGAAGCAGCAGCUGCCGUAGCCUGGGGUGGAUAUUUGUGGAUUGGAGGUAAGUUUAAAAGGUUUGAAUUAACCCAAAUCUGCAAAAUAAGGCCUGCUUAAUUAUCCGUUUUUAUACGUUAUUGGAAAGACGAGUUCUUUGCGCAUCACGCUUGCUUUGCGCGCACCAGUGCACCGUGCACGUACACGCACGGCGCAGACAGUUUGAGGAAUAGUUGUAAAUGUGAGCGCAGCAGCAGAGUCAUUGGAUUUCAUAGAAACUGUACCGGCAAGAGACUUUUUUUUAAUUUAUUUUAUUUUUUGGUUAUUAGUUUCCACAGAGACUUUGUCCUUCUUUCGUCAUGUAGCAGUCGUCUCACCUCCUCCUUACUCCUUCUCCUCCUCCUCUUGUCCUCUGCAGUGUGUUUUUACCUCUGAAUCUGAUCUUUUGUUUGCCUGCCGGAUCAGCUUCUUUGUUCAUGCAUUGCUGCAUUUGACUAUUCAGAAUCCAAUAUGGCACAUUAACAUGAUUUACAUUUUAGGGACAAUGUUGUUAAGAAAAACUGCAGUAACGCCGAUAUCACGUCACUGUGCGUGGUUUAAGUUGUUAAAAAAUUGAAACGUAUAAAGUGUGAAAUUUAACGAAAUAAAAACCGUGUCUACAGCAGAACAAAAAAAAAAAAAAAUGGUCUCCGCGUCUGUAGAAGAUGCCAAAACACACACGACACGAGCAUGAAAGUAUGUAAUGCAAAUCUAUCCACUGAAUAUGCAUCAAUAUUAAAAAUUAUACGCACACCACCAGAGCCAACGGCGCCGCAGAUUUGAGAAUGGCAGAGAGCGGGUCCGUCUCAUUACGCAUGGGCGGUUUUUCCACGCAGGAGCCACGGUUCCCCUUCUCUCCGUGAAUACACGUCUCCCUUCCGUCCCGUUCACCUUAACGAAGCAUCUUGAAGGGGAGAAAAAUGAGAAGAAAAAAAAAAAUACAAAGACUGCAUAUCAUGGCUUUCAGAACGGCAAUCAAACACCCAAGAAGUAGCUGUGGCUGGGGGGAAAUUACACUCCGACUGCGCCAGGGCGGACCGUGUAGCCCAGUAAGCGGGAUUUGCAUAUUUUGAUGCGCUAAUUGUCUUCAUAUAUUUAAAUAUGGCUGCACGUAGCUGAUAUGCUUGUCUACGUCAUUGAACGUGCCCUCGCUGUUAAACUAAAACGUGAAUCCGCUUGAAUGUAAUGGAUACGCCUGCAAUUAGGCGAAAAGGAAGGAGGGAGGGAGUGAUGAUGGGAAGGAGGUGAAUGGGAGAGGAUGCUUUGUGCCUCAUUUACAUUUGUAAUUUUCUCUCUAAUAAUAAUGUGACAUUUAGUGAUUUCCGGUCUGCUGAAACAUUAAAAUAAGAAAAAAUAACAACAAGUAAUAACAAUGGCUGGGAAAUAAGAAAUAAAGGUAACAAAACAAUGUGAUUGAUUUAAAAAAAAGUCAUUUUUGCAGAUAUUUUCUUGCAAAAUACAAUUACUAUUAAAAGGCACUUACAACAGUAAAUACAAGUGUGUUGUCACUAUAAGAAUCCUCCUCCUUAACUUAUAUAAUGUUUCCAACACUUUGUCUUCUAUUUAAGGUCAUUUCAACAACUGUUAAACACCUAAACACUAACAUCAGGGUUUAUUAGAUCCUACAUAGUUCUAUGGAAUAUUUAACCAAGUUCUUAUGAGGCAGAAUCUCAUUUCUCUGCCGAUAAUUAAAGUUUGGAUGAAGAUGAGAAUUGCUGUUUCGUCAGAUUUAGGCAUGAUGUGAGGGUUAGGGCAAAGAUUUUGGUUCUAUGGAGUUUAAAGGUCAACACAGUUUUAGUGUGUGUGUGUUUGUUUUCUUGUACCAAUGAUGUGCGUGUGUGAGAGAGAAAGUCUUAUAUUGGAGAGGUCACGUGAAGUUGUGUUUAAUUAGACAGAGGGGUCAUUUCACAGGUGUGCUUGGCUUGUGUAUGGGCCCACACACACGAGAGAGAGCGAGAGAGAGAUCAAAUCAAAAACAUUUAGACAGAAGUUUCGAUGCACCGUUUCCCCCUGCUCCUCUCUUUUCAUUAUUGACCCCAUUCUGGACGUAGUUGGGGAAUUGUGCGCAGCAAAUCAUUUUCCCCUCUGUCCGCAAAACCGGUAAAUGCGUCCCGUUUGUCAAAACGCGUUAGCCAAGCGCCUGCAGCAAAUUCAUUACCACCCAACUGCGAGGGUUGACUUCGUAACCUGGUCAGGGAGGAGAAGGAGGGAGGUGAGGUACGGAGGGAGACACAGGGAGACUUGGAGGUAGAGAGGGAGGUACUGGGAGGGUAUAGGAGAGCGGUCCACCACGCCAAAAAAAAAAACAGCCCUGAACAAUGCUUCCUCAGUUCGUGCGUGCAACAAAAGAACCGAGGGAACUUGUUUGAAUUUCCGAGCACGUCCUCCUCUCCUCCCCCAUCAUCGCAUCAUCAUCACCCCCAUCAUCCGACCGUCCCACCAACAGGAGGAAGUAGAAAACAAACUUGCCCACUAUGAGCCCAAAGUGUCCACGCACCUUUCUUUUUGGUGCGUAUGUAUGGACGUUAUGGGAAAGUUGUCUCCCUCCCAUCUUCCCUCCCUCUCUACUUUCCUCCCUCCUUCUCUCCCCCCUCGUCCUUCUGCUUCUCUUCAUCUAUCAUGUGCUUGGGAUGUCCGUCGUGCUUUGCACAGAGCAGCUGUAGCACGCCUAUAAUGCGGGCUUACCGAGUGUUAGCGGCAAUUUUAAAGUGAUGCGCCCCCUCUGCCGCCCUUCAAACCAAUGAAUACAUGCGGCUGCAUGGGAUAUCUGAAAGGGUGGGAAACCUAUACCACACACAGCACGGCACGGCGCGACACGGCAAGGCACGGCAAGGCACGGCAGACACGGAACAAAGUGAGAGAACCGUGCCAGUCUCCUGCUCACGGGACGCUCUGUGGUCGGUUGCAGAGAUUUUGGGGACUCACCUUUGUGAGAAAUGAUGGAGAUAGAUAGCAGUGAUGGACUACAGGUAGCACACUAUGUUGGUCAACACUGGACCUCUUGGAUAUUGCAAUUGACUGGACCCACGUAAGGUUGCCCAGAUGCCUGAUCGGUUGUGACCUAGAAACAAAUGGUGUAACGACUGGAUUCUCCAGGCUAAAGUCAUCAAUAAUAUUCAAUGGAUAUCAGAGGUAGAAGAUUUCCAGUGAUUGUAAAGGAGCGAAUCUGGAUGUCACGCAGAGAACACCACUACUUCCAGGAGCAUCAUUACUAUCCUGUUUGUCUCCUGUGAACCUGACUUUUAUAAAAAAAAUAUUAGAAGUAUUAGAAGAAGAAAGAAGUAUUUUCCCCCUUUAUAUAGAUGAUGCUUAUCAUAAUCAUUACCUGGAAAAAGUAUUCUUUCAAAUAGGAUUUUCAUAAGAACAAUGAAUUCUCACCAAAUUCACACACCCACUCACACUGUGCAGAUGAUCGUAUUUCUGAUGAUGAUUUCAUAUUGUCUUUGCAAAUUCAUGUACUUUUGUAAAAAAAAAUGCAUAAUUUGAAGUACUUAAGUAAUAUAUAUUUGCUGUGUUUAUUUUCUGUUUAAUGCAGAACACAAGUUUUUGGAAGAUUAAUUGUGAACAAAUCUGGUGUAAAAGUCAUAUAAUUCACUGCACAGCUGCCAGAAUUGAAACACAACUCCUGACAUGAAAUCCUUUUCACCCACGUUUUUAUGCUUCAUUAACCUUCAUUCAUUUUUAUGUUUCUCCAUUGUCUUGUCUUCUUCCUUAUCAUAUUAAUUCCCUGUCUCUUUCUACUUAACUUUCCGUUUCACCAUAUAUCUUGGUGCUUACCUCAUCCUCAUUUCCUCCACCAGCAUCACUCUUCCCGUCUUUCAGUUCUAUCUGUCCUACUCCACCCUUACCCAUUCUACUGUCAUAUCUACAGCAACUCCCCUUCUCCCUUCCCUCUUGUCUUUCUCUGCUUCUCAGAUGUCAGAUCAUAGUCUCCUCUUCCGCUUGCCCUGUCAUCACAUUUUUCACACAGUCCCAUACCGUAAUUGGGCCUGUAUCAUCAUAUCAUAUCAUGAAGAAUACCUGAUCACAGCCAGAGAUGAAAGAUAGCCUCCACCUCUCCACCUCAGAGACACACAGAGGCACUCACAUACGACGUGCCGACCCCAACAAACACACACACACACACACUUAUGUACUCCACACAGAGGCACGCUGCCACAAACA